UAGGGAAUCUUCCGCAAUGGACGAAAGUCUGACGGAGCAACGCCGCGUGAGUGAAGAAGGAUUUCGGUUCGUAAAACUCUGUUGUUAGGGACGAAGCGUAAGUGACGGUACCUGCAGAAGAAGCACCGGCUAACUACGUGCCAGCAGCCGCGGUAAUACGUAGGGUGCGAGCGUUGUCCGGAAUUACUGGGCGUAAAGAGCUCGUAGGCGGUUUGUCACGUCGUCUGUGAAAUCCUAGGGCUUAACCCUGGACGUGCAGGCGAUACGGGCUGACUUGAGUACUACAGGGGAGACUGGAAUUUCUGGUGUAGCGGUGGAAUGCACAGAUAUCAGGAAGAACACCGAUGGCGAAGGCAGGUCUCUGGGUAGUAACUGACGCUGAGGAGCGAAAGCAUGGGUAGCGAACAGG
rnacentral:rRNA from 1 species